GUUUGCAUGGAUUGCACACAAUAAUUAUCAUUGAGACAGACUAUUACUAUGUAUAUAUAGAUCUAUAUACUUACUGUAGCAUUUCAGCCUACUUUGACUGAUAGAUCUAUAUAGGCUAUAUAUAGCUGUUCGUUUCUAUUGACUACUAUGCUUAGUUCAAGUUUAUUUUCGCUGCUGUGUGUAACUCUCACUCUCAUCUGUGGUGGAAGCACUGAAGGGCAAAAUAAUGAUUUACCAGUUUAUCCAACGGUUUCUCUUGAUCCUGACAUUGGCUCCCUUUACUUUGGAUUAUUGGUUGGAGGUUCACUUGAGAAUAGCUCAGUACUUGCAGCUGUGAGAUUGUCUCUCGACAUCAUCAAUAAUCGCUCAGACAUUUUGAGUGGAUAUUCUCUUCACUACACUCUGACUUAUUCUGGUUGCUAUGGAAGUGACUUGGUGGAUAAGACCUUCACACAACUGGAUGGCAGACCAGAUGGCUGUAAGAAACUUGGCUUGAUCACUGCAGGUUGCACCAGUACAUCACUUGUUUCGUCUUAUGUGGGCAAUCACUUCAAUGUCCCUGAGAUACUGUGCUCUCAGACUGUACAAAGUGAUGCAAGAGAUUUGAAUGUGUUUAGAACUCAUCCCUCCAAGUUAGUGCUUGUACCUGCUCUCGUUAGCAUCAUAGCCUCUUAUGAAUGGACGAAAGUGGCUCUCAUGGUGGAGAACAAGCAAGAAUACACACCAAUGAUUAAAGCGUUGAAGGAGGAAGUGAUGGACCUGAACAUUACCCUCUCUGUCACAACUAUGGAUCUGCAAGGAGACUCGCUGAAAGUGAUCGGGAGCUGUGGCAAAGAUAUAUUUGACUCUGAUGUAAGGAUAUUCAUACUGGUGAUGUCUUCGGAAAUGACUCGACACUUGCUUUGUCAGGCAUUCAAGCAAAGUGUGAAGUAUCCCAAACAUGAGUUUGUAUUGGUUAGUGAGCAAAACAGCAACUGGUGGGUAUCAUCACAAUCAGAGGAUGGACGUUACGGCUGCUCUUCUAAUCAACGAGCUGAUGUGCUGAGCCAUUCACUUGGACUGCAACUAAAUCAAGAUCACAUUGUUCGUAAACAGCAGAAUAUUUCUGAGGAUACUGAUAUCUCUAACUUUACUGGUGGAUCACAGGCUAAGUAUUGCUACGAUGCUGUCUGGACACUUGCUUUGGCACUCAACAAAACCGUGACAGAGUUUGGUGAUAUCGACUGCACUUAUCAAGACUCUCAAAUGGAUCAGUUGUACAAUAAUAUUCAAGAAACUGACUUCAUUGGAAAAACAGGUCAUGUGAGAUUUACCGAGGGCGGGGAGCGAUCGACUGAUGACAUUGAGAUACUUGUGAUACAAUAUCAAACUGAAGAGUCACAAUGGAAUAACUUGAAUACUGCAACUAUAGGAUCGUACAUGCACAGCGAAUUGACACUUUAUGGCAACAAAACCAUAUGGCCAGAUGGAAUUCCAUAUGAUGGCAAGCUUGUCAGUGUGAUAGUUACCGUGUCCACUCCAUUAGCUGUUGUUUAUUAUUUCUUCGCAACUGCUGGUAUCAUCUCAACACUAGUCUGUUGUGUAUUCAAUUAUGCCUACAGGAAAACAAAGAUUGUUCGACUAACAAGUCCCAACCUCAAUUAUCUGAUAAUCAUCGGAUGUCUGUUCAUCUAUAUCUCAGUGUACUGGUAUUUUAUUCCAUCAACAAACCCAAAUGUAGUACUUACGGCUUGUUGUGCAAGUUGUAUUUACGAGCAUAAUAAUCUGCAUGUACAUAUGUCACAUUUUCAGUUUCAAGUUGGACUUCUGGGAAGUGGCUAUUUUCUUGUCAUGGGCACCAUUGUUGCCAAACUCUGGAGAAUCUACUACAUUUUCAGGAAUCCAGAGUGCACCAGGAAGAGAGCUAUUACAGACUGUCAACUCCUUAUUUUCAUUCUCUUGAUGGUUGCUCUAGAGAUAACCAUGUUUCUCGUGUAUGUGGGUGUGGAGACAGCUGCUCCAGGAUACGAGCUGGAUAUAGUGACUAACCAGGACCAGCCAAGAGGGCUUGUUGGGGAACAAAAAAUCAACACAAAAUAUGAAUACUACAUUUGCAGACGAGUUCCCAACUUACGAACAAUUACUAUCAGCAUCAUAUUUGGAAUAAUCGCUAUUCUUCUGUGUUGUGCUCUGUUUAUGGCCGUCAAGACAAGAAAGGUCCAAAUAAAAGGUCUAAAUGAUGCUAAGUACAUCGCAGCAAUUGUGUAUAUUUCAAGCUUCCAGUUCUUAAUCCAUUAUAAUUGUAACUUUCACACUGGGAAAUAAAGUCGACACUUUCCCUGCUGUUUUAACUAUGUUCGUCUUAUUGGGAACAAUGGCACUCCAAGGACUGCUAUUCAUUCCUAAGAUGUUGAUUUUGUACCGAGAUCCGGAGGGUAACCACAUCUUCAGCGUUAACGACCCCCUUGGCAAAGUAGCUCCACUCUCAACCAUCUUUGUGAAUGACAUUGGGAGAUCAGACUGCAAAGCAUGCCAAGAGUUGAAGGCCAGAGUGAAGAAGCUGGAACAAACUAUUGUUGAGGUUUAAUUUGUUAAGUGUACUCCGAUGCAUAUCACUGUAAAAAUAAUGUGUGGUUUUCACCCAAGUGUGUGACUAUUGUGAGACAAAUAAUUAUAUCAGGCAAAAAACUAACAUUCGCCAAAAUAGUCAUGCACGCACUUUGUGUGAAAACCAGUAUUAUACAGCUAGUAUAUAAGAAAAAAGUGGGUACCCCAUCAUGCAAUUAGAACACUUAUACGCACUCACUAUCUCUCUCUUGUCGAAAGAGCGUUUUUCACGCCCACUCUUAGGACUUCGAAAUAAUUUUUUAUCUCUCACCUAUAUUGAACUACAGUAGACUCUCGUUAAUCCGGUCACCCUUGGGACCAUGCAGCUUGGCCGGAAUAGCGAGGUGGCUGCAGCUCAGGAAAUAGCCGCGGCUUAAAAACGACCUUACCUCGAAUCUAAUGACUACUUUUGCGGUUCUUGUCUCGAGGAUAAUGUAGGAUAAUGAAUCAUUUCUGUUCUCUAUUUAAGUUUAAUCCAAUUUUUUUGCUAAACCACACCCAAAACGUCGUAUCCCGCCGUAAUAAUAAUACGUAUAAAAUUACAUUGAAAACCUUGUUUGGGACAGCCAGCACUCAGAGGAGGGAGGACACGAUUAACCUUAGCUCUAAUUAGCUAAUUAUCGCGACCUUUUAAUUACAUUCUUUGAACGAUUCAUCUUUUCUUUCUUUGUAACCUCUACAUAUUGGGACACACAGAACAGUACUGUAGUAUGAGUGACAGGCAAUUCUUGCAGGCACAGAGCAAACCAUACAAAUAAAGGGGUGCUAGAAGCUGAGACUGUUAGUGUCAUUGAUGUUCUUCAUGUUGGAGACACUCUGAACUAAACAAUUCCAUGUUGCAGCUUUAUCACAGAGACAGGAGUUCCUGGGGCGCUUCUCACAGGGAUCUUGGAGACAGGAGUGCCUGGGGUGCUCCUCAUAGGGAUCCUGUCUCCAGGAUCAAGAGUGCUUCUCACAGAGACAAGAUCAGAGUGCCUGGGAUGCUUCUCACAGGGAUCUUAGAGAUAGGAGUACUUGAGGUGCUUCUUAUAGGGGUCCUAUUACCUUCAGGUCCUGACAACUUGGCCAUAGGGGUACCUCCAGUAGGAGAAAAGGCUUACUUUGCUCUAGUUGGGCGGAGUCCAACCAACGCUGCA